AUUGAACGCUGGCGGCAGGCCUAACACAUGCAAGUCGAGCGGAUGAAGGGAGCUUGCUCCUGGAUUCAGCGGCGGACGGGUGAGUAAUGCCUAGGAAUCUGCCUGGUUGUGGGGGAUAACGUCCGGACACGGGCGCUAAUACCGCAUACGUCCUGAGGGAGAAAGUGGGGGAGCUUCGGACCUUCCGCUCUCAGAUGAGCCUAGGUCGGAUUAGCUAGUUGGUGGGGUAAAGGCCUACCAAGGCGACGAUCCGUAACUGGUCUGAGAGGAUGAUCAGUCACACUGGAACUGAGACACGGUCCAGACUCCUACGGGAGGCAGCAGUGGGGAAUAUUGGACAAUGGGCGAAAGCCUGAUCCAGCCAUGCCGCGUGUGUGAAGAAGGUCUUCGGAUUGUAAAGCACUUUAAGUUGGGAGGAAGGGCAGUAAGUUAAUACCUUGCUGUUUUGACGUUACCAACAGAAUAAGCACCGGCUAACUUCGUG
rnacentral:rRNA from 1 species